AAAAAAUGCGUUUUAACAAUUCUAGGGUUUUACAGUCUUCUUCUCUACAGCAGUGAGAAGAAGCAAGGAGAAGAAAGAAGGAUAUCUUUUUCUGAAAAAUUUAAUUCUAAGACCAGUUUUCUUACCUGAAAUUAAGAUUUCGGGGAAAUAAUUAGGUUUGAUUUUCGUUGUUGGGACCGAAAAGAGGGAAAGGAUUCAAAGGACGAGUUUUGUUUGAAAUUUACAGACUUCUUCUUCCUUCCAAAUUUCAGGCUACAAAGGUUUCGCGAGUAGAACUGGAGGAUUAGUGAUUUGGAGAUCAGGUAGUUCAAUUGUGCUGUUCAGGGGGAAUAUCCUACAAGCUUUCCUGUGUGCAAUACUGCAAUCAUAUACUGAACAAAGGCUUUGUAAUAUCCAUGCCGAAAGAAGGUUCUGAGAAGGUGCAGAAGCAGUCUGCUUCAGCUGAAAAAGCAGGUAAAAAGAAGCAGGGGAAACUCAGUUCAGAAAAGAAGAACAAAGUGGGCAGUGAGACUUUGCCGAGUAAGGCAACACGGGGUAGUGAGAUUGAUGAUGUAUUUUCAAGAAAGGAGAGCAAGACAAGGUAGAGAAACAGGAUAAACCCGUUGUAAAAGAGAAGAAAGUAGCUAAUGAGAUUGAUGAGAUUUUUGCAAUUAAGAAGAAGAGGAAGAAAGAGUUAGAGGAGGUGGAAAAGGCAGAAGAAAAAGAGAGUUUGGAACUUAAAAAGUCAGCAAAGAAAAUGAAGAGAAGUAGGGUCUCUGAAGGUGUCGCGUUUGUGGAUCCACCAUCUCGGCCGAGAAGGAAAACAAAUGAUGGGCUCACAAUCUACUCUGAGACUGAGCUAGGGAUUGCAAAUUCUGAUGCUGGUGGUACUCGUCUUUGUCCUUUCGAUUGUUCUUGCUGUUUUUAAUCAUUCCGGUUUAAAUAGCACAGAGAUCUUGGCAGGAAGCAACAUUUUGCAAGGGUUGCAUUUGGAUUUUAUCUUGGUUUUGAGCAAAACUUAGAAUGCACCAUAAGCAGCAUGUAUUUCAGACUUGGAUGGCUGUAUCAAAUAUGGCUUGGGUUUUGCACCCAAUUUCAAAGUGUUGUAAGAGAAAAAUCUAGUGCAUCUGUUAACUGCACUCACUGAAUCUACUUUAUCUUAAUUGAUG